UAUUAGGCUGGUGCAAAAGUAAUUGUGGUUUUUGCCAUUAAAUAUAAUAGCAAAAACCGUAAUUACUUUUGCACCAACUUAAUA
rfam:Pan troglodytes isolate Yerkes chimp pedigree #C0471 (Clint) chromosome 11, whole genome shotgun sequence.